rnacentral:tRNA from 1 species
AAAGGGAGACCUAAUUCAGGUAGGAGACGAAAAAAAAGUAGUCGCUACCAAGAAUCAAUCCCAAAAGGUCGGAGCGAGGCAAAAUUGGCUUUCAAACUAGGUUCUGGGUUCACACAAGACCUGAAUCAGGAACAAGGGCUAUUAGCUCAGGUGGUUAGAGCGCACCCCUGAUAAGGGUGAGGUCCCUGGUUCGAGUCCAGGAUGGCCCACCUGUACAGGUGGCAAAAAGAAAGAAAAGAAGCGAGGAAUCAGCACCUUAUCUUACUUAUAUAGUAGGAGAGAAUGCUGGCUCUGAGUACAGAGUCCAGAGGAACCUUGAAAACUGCAUAGAGCUAGGUGAAAAAGCCAAAAAAGAAGACCGCAAG